rnacentral:rRNA from 1 species
UACGGGGGGAGCAAGCGUUGUUCGGAUUUACUGGGCGUAAAGGGCGCGUAGGCGGUCAGCACAAGUCAGUUGUGAAAUCUCCGGGCUUAACUCGGAAAGGUCAACUGAUACUGUGCGACUAGAGUGCAGAAGGGGCAACUGGAAUUCUCGGUGUAGCGGUGAAAUGCGUAGAUAUCGAGAGGAACACCGGUGGCGAAAGCGUUCUGCUAGACCUGUACUGACACUGAGGGACGAAAGCUAGGGGAGCGAAUGGG